GGCAGGCUUUGCCUUUUCUGGUAGUUAAAGCUGCUGAAAGAGCAAGCAGGAAUUCUUUGUGCUGCAGAAGGGCUGAGAUAUAAACCAGACUGUAGAAGUUGAUAUAGGGAGAGACAAGGGACUGCUGUCCAUGGACUAAGCUUCAGCUACUCCUAAGUGAGAACGUGAGGAGAACCUUUCAGGCAUCAUGGAUGAUGAUUUUGACCGUCGCAUGGAGCUAAGGAGGCAGAGGAGGGAGCAAAUGCGCCUUGAGGCAGAGAAGAUGGGAGGGGUCACCAACGAUGAUGAUGAUGAGGAGGCUCGGGAGCGGAGGAGACGUGCCAGGGAGGAGAGAAAGAAGAUGAGGGAGCAGGAGGAGUCUGGUGGCACUGAUACCAUCAGUACUAACAGUGUUACAGAGUCUACCACUAGUACCGAAGGUGCAGACGAUGACCAGGCCUUGCUGGAUCGCCUGGCCAAGAGGGAGGAGCGCAGACAGAGGAGGAUGAAGGAGGCCAUGGAGAGACAGAAGGAGCUUGACCCCACCAUCACCAUCACCACCACCAAUGGCACAGAUGCUGCCCUGGAGGAGCAGUCAUCCUCUCGCAUGAGCAGACACCGAGUCACAGAAGAAGACGAGGAGAAGAAGGAAGAGACACCGGCCAAGGAGGAGGUGACGACCGACGAAUCUGAUUUCAGGAGGAGAGAGGAAGAAGAGAAGGAGGAGGAGAGGGUAGAGCCUCCAAAAGUGGAAGAGCCUGCAGCUGCUCCUGAACCAGAAGCUGUGCUUAAGAGGGAGGAGAAGCCAAAACGACUUGGUUUUAGGGAAAAGAAUGAGCCAGCCAAACAGAAUGGAGCUCUCAUUGAGAACAAACUUAAGAAACCAGAGAAGACCUUGAGCGCUGAAGAAGUGGAGCGACAGGAGGCAGAGCGUAAGCUGCAGGAGUUGAAGCGUCGGCGAAAUGAUGCAGAAAGCGAGGAGAUUGAGAAGAUGAAGCUGAAGCAGCAGGAUGCCGAGGCAGAGCUGGAGGAGCUGAAGAAGAAGAGAGAGGAGAGGAGGAAGAUCCUGGAGGAGGAGGAGAGACAGAAGAAGCAGGAGCUUGCAGACAAGAAAGCCAAGGAGCAGGAGGAAAGGAAGAAGAUGAGGGAGGAGAUAGAGAAGAGGAGGGCAGAAGCUGCAGAGAAGAAAAAACAAAAGGAAGAAGAGUCUGCUGAUGCAAAGCCCUCCUUCACUGUCAGCUCCAAAGGCUCCUCAAAGAUUGGGGAGAAGGCAGAAUUCCUGAACAAGUCAGCCCAGAAAAGCAGUACAGCCAGAACGUCACAUACUCCAAUUGUCUCCAAGAUAGGCAACAGACUGGAACAGUACACUUCAGCCUUACAGGGAAGCAAAGAAGUCAAGUCCCCCAAGUCUCCUGUGCCGGAUAUUCCCUCUGGAGGCACGCGCAGCAUCAAGAGCAUGUGGGAGAAGGGCAACAUCGGCAGCCCUUCUGAAAGCCCAGCCACCUCAAAUAAGGAUGCUGCUGGUAUCAAAGUAGGCGUGGCUGGACGUGUCAACAGUUGGAUGGCAAAACCCGCAGAGGCCGACAAGACGGCACCGGCAGCAGCACCAGCACCGGAAAAACCAGCUGAGGUGAAACCAGGUGAUGUUGGCAACAAGCGUGGCCUAUGGGAAACCAAGAAGAGCUCUGCGCCUACCAAGUAGACCUAAUGGAUGGAUGAAAGAGGUGACAUUUGGGGGCAAGAGAAAUUUUGUCACUAAUGCAGGCGCAAGACCUUAACCACUGACAUCCCCCUGAAAAAAAAAAAAAGCCUUACUCGACCAAAAGCAUGACUGCUGCAGUGUGUGUAUUCGUUCCCCUAUAAUCUCCCUGUUUCUCGCACAAGGUUCACACCAGAGUGAGCAAAGGACAAGGGACCAGGAGUCACAUUUAAAAAAAAAAAACAAAAAAACAAAACAAAGGCUGCAAUCUUCCGAUUUGAGCUGAAAACCAUAAAGACUUCUAUAUUUUUGUAACUAACGUUU